CGAGGCGUUCGGCUAUACGAACAGCGGCCGCCCAGGGAGUACUUAAUAGAUGGUUCCUAUGUAGUUAAUGAGCCAGGAGGGUGGUCGGUGUUUGGUAGUUUCAAACUACCGAACGAAUAUAUUCAAAACACAUGCAAUACUUGUGGGAAAAAGACCGUACAAAGAAGAAAAUGUUAAACAAAAGUCUAUUUUCUUCCAUGGGUCGGCAUACCCGCCUAGACCCUGCCGGGUUGGCUAGGGGAUGUCCGUGUAGCAUAAUUAUACAUCCAAGUCGGUUUGACGGGAAAGCCCAUCCGCAUUGCCGUUCUGCUUGCCCGGGCUGUCUUGCAGCAUAAAAUUGUAGGGUUGCAACGCUAAACUCCAGCGUAGCAACCGGGGAUUGUCUCCAGAGACUCGGUUGAGCCAAAUGAGGGGGUUGUGGUCAGUAAGUUGGGUAAAAGCACGGCCAUAAAGGUAUGGAGAUUCUUUAAGGCCCAUACUAGCGCCAGGCAUUCUUUUUCCACGGUGGCAUAGCUGACCUCCCGAGGUAGCAACUUACGGCUGAGAUAUGCCACCGGGUGCUCCAUGCCAUCUUCCCCCAUCUGGCUCCCAGCCCAAACAUGGAGGCAUCUGUAUGAACGAGAAAUGUUUUAUUAGGGUCUGGGGCCGCCAAUACUGGUGCUUCGCUCAAAGCCGUUUUAAGUCUCUGGAACGCCGUUGCACACUCCGGGGACCACGCUACCUGCUUGGGUAGGGACUUUUUGGUCAGAUCAGUGAGGGGUUUCGCUAGAAACAUAGAAUGUGGCAUAGAAUGUGACGGCAGAUAAGAACCAUUCGGCCCAUCUAUUCUGCCCAAUUUUCUAAAUACUUUCAUUAGUCCCUGGUCUUAUCUUAUAGUUAGGAUAGCCUUAUGCCUAUUCCACGCAUG